rnacentral:rRNA from 1 species
CACGUAGGGGGCGAGCGUUGUCCGGAUUUAUUGGGCGUAAAGAGCUCGUAGGCGGCUUUGUCAGUCGGGUGUGAAACCUCCAGGCUCAACCUGGAGCCGCCACCCGAUACUGCAAUAGCUAGAGUCCGGUAGGGGAGCAUGGAACUCCUGGUGUAGCGGUGAAAUGCGCAGAUAUCAGGAGGAACACCAAUGGCGAAGGCAGCUCGCUGGAACGGUACUGACGCUGAGGCGCGAAAGCGUGGGGAGCGAACAGG